GGUUGCAGAUAUUUGAAGUCUGGGGGUGAGACCUGCAAAAAUUUCCCUUAAGGUAGGGACAAUCAUUUAAAAAUGUUUCCUUUGUUCAGAGCUAUCUGUACAAUGCAUAAUGAAAGACUUCUAAGAAAGUUGAAUGAACGAAAAUGUAAAUGAUAAAGAAAAAAACUCGCCUACCUUGAGACAAGCUUUUCAAAGAUGAUUACGUAUAUCUCCCCUCCAAAUCUUUCUUUGGUGUCAUCUUAAAUCAUAAAUUACUAAGAUUUUGAAUAAGUGAAAGUUUGUUUUUUUCUUCAUCUGCUCCAUCUUCAGACACUUAAUGAUUACAUGUAAUAUAGAAGUCAGAAGUUGAUAUUUUAAUGGGAAAGUAAUACAUAUUAUAUAAUGUACUUGCUUAACAUUAGAUGUUUCAUAAGGAUAUUCCUAACAUCCCAUGCAGACCAUAAUAGGAAGCCUAGCAAGCAAAAUACAGUUUGAACAGCCUUACACUGCCUAUUUUGGAGCACAUAAUAAGUAAGAAAUGUGAGUAGGAAGUGGACUAAAUAUAAAAUACAAUAAUCUAAAUAUGGAUAGAUGAAUUGAAAUUAAGGGAGAAGAUGGUCUCAGACAAACUUUUUUUUUCAAUGUUUUAUACCAUACACAAUCCGCUUUCAUUCAUUUUGGGAUAGGUAAGGGCUAAUAGGAACAUAUGGUGAGAUGUGCUCACUACGGUGGAACUGAAAGUUGAUGUUGAAUGAGGAUUAAUUCAGCCUAUCCAAAUCAUGUGGAUUAUUUCUAUUCAGGAGCAGAACAAAUGGUUAAUCUCUCUUCAUUCAAGCAAUUAAUCUGUAUGGGGGAGUGGACACUUAAUUUUUUGACUAGGCUGGCUAUUUUUUUUAAAACUGAUGAAGAUAGUCAUAAUAAAUGAUAUUAAACAUUAAGCUUUAGUAUUUUCAUAAUGGCAAGAUGUUUCCUUUUUAUAUGUGUUUUUAUAUGUGCCAAAUUUAAUUCUGAGUCAAUUGAGUGAAAUAAUCUUCCUUUAGAAAGUUGAAAACAAAAUUUGAAGAACUCUCAAAGCAUUAAACUAAAUGUCCAAGGGCUACGAUGGGAGAUUCCAUGAAAAAACAAAUUUAAAUAGAUGCAGAUUGUGUUAUCUGUGUUGCACACAUCCUCUUCUAAACCAUGCAGCUCAAUACAGCAGGUAUUGCCCAUCUGUGCAAUAAUAGGUAAGUUGGAAGGAAUUAAUAACUUAAAUUGUGGCACCUCUAUUUAAAUUGGGUAACUUUUUUAUUUCUUUAUAAUCCUUUUCAAUAAGUUAUUAGCUUUUUUAAUUUUUUCUUAAGAUAGAUGGGUUAAAAAUAUGUGACUUGGAGAUGAAGAUUUCAAUCUAAAUUAUAAUUAUUUCCUACAUCUGUUCUGAUACAUUGAGAAUGGUUUGUGCUUGUAAAUUAGGCGUUAAUGAAAUAAAAAUGCCGUAACCAUGUGGAACAUCGGAAUUGCAAUUGACUAAAGAAGAUUCUAUAAAUUCUCCAGUGGUGUUCUAUUGCCACAAAAGCUCUUUUGAGCACUCACUAUACACAAAAUUUUGUCUUUAUACACUGAAGUAUUAAAUUUAAAGUAAAGACCUAAAAAUUGCCAAAGGGAAGCAUUACCAAGAACUGCCUUUUAAAGACAGGCAUUCUACUUUUAUUACUUUGUGUUUACUUUGCUUCUGAACUAGUCAGCUGUACAUUGUAUAGAUAGAGUAGUGUUUUAUCGCCUUCUAAUCCACUCCAUAGGGACACAGACUGAGAAAUGUGGUAGGUGGUUCUUAGAGGAUGAGCUGGUAGCAGUGAUUGUCAGCCUUGCUUUUCUGUUAUUCUUCAUGUCCUAGUCAUGCUCUCUGGUUCUUAUGCAAUAAAUUCUACUUCUUCUGACUAAAAGAUAUUGCAGCUGUAUUUUUGUUCAGUCAUGUGCCUGAUUCAAUGAAGUUCAUAUCUGAGAUGUUUUUAUAUCAAAGAGAUGAAAUGAAUAAACCCACAAUGACAUAAUUUCAAAGAAAGUCUUCCAGUACAUACAGUUUGGUAUUAGUUUUAUAAAAUUAAUGUGAAAUAUUGGAAUGUACAAUUUGAAGGAAUAUGCAGUUACAAUACUUUGAAAAUUGCAAGUAACUCAUAAUUUUUACUUAUCCCUAAAAUUUAAGUCCAGCUUUGCUUUAAUUGUAGUCAAAAGCAUCUAAGAGGUGUUAUGUGGAAAUAUUUUUAAUACUCCAGUCUCCUUAAUUUAAGGUUGCUGAUUAAAAAGAAAAGAAUAAAUUUGAAAAACUUAUAAAAUAAUUUACAUUUACAAGAUAAUUUAUCUUAUAAAAGGCAAUUUGUUUAAAAAUUAUGGUUGUAGUCACAAUUCCAAAAUAUCAUGCUAAUAUUUAUUUAGAUGCAACACUAAUAUUAUUUUGGGAUAUUAGAAAUUGGGAAUAGUCCUUUUUGAACUUACAUCAGUUGGGGGUAUGUGCAGCUUUUCAAAUAAAAACAUUCUGUUUAAGUAGAUUAAGUGAAAAUCAAAUAUUUUCAGUGCUGCAGCAGCUAAGAGGAAAUUGUUACUAAUUCUCAUCAUGAUUUAUGAGUUAUUUAGUAAGUAGUUUUCUCCAAUGGAGUAAAAACUUCUAAGUACAUCUUAUUUUACCGCUGGGCUAGUAACUCUCCUCUUUGGUCAUACUUACUUUUUGUGAUUUCAUUAUUUUUUUCUUGUUUUUAAGAGGUCAUCUGUGUUAAUGUUUUCAAAAAUAAGUCUCUAACUCUGUGAUGGAUUUUUUAAUGUUGCAUUUUUCAAUUUAUGUCCAUACUGCCAUUGAAAAAUGAAAGAAAGUGAAAAGGAAGAGGUAUUCAGUGUCAUUGAUGUGUGGACAGACUACACAAAUGAAACAAAGUUAAAGGCAACGCUCAGGGCACCGCUUGCUUAUUUGACUUUUUUUUGUUUUGAUACAUAGACACUCACUUUGAUGAUCUUUUUAAAACACUUAAAGCUAAAUAGUAGGAUUUUGAAUUAUAUUUUCCAACAUUUAAAGUAUUUUUAGAAGUAUUAAUUUAACAGGGUUUUUGUUUUUCUUACAGCUUAUGCAAGGCAAAGACAUGCUUUGCCAAUAAGAUGCAUGUAAAAAUUAAUGAUAACUAGAACAAAGGGUGUUUAAUUAUAGUCUUCUUCCUUUUAAAAAGUUGCUAACAAAAGUUUUGUAUUAUAAAAUAAAAAUCAGCACAAGUACUCAUUUUUUGACAACUUUGGAUCCUGCCAAGCAACAGAAAUGUAUUUAUUGGCUUACUUGAAGGCCCUAAAUAUGUAGCCCAACAUUCACAUUUUCUUUUACUAUGAGGGUGAAUACUUAUUUUUCUCCUUACAUUUAUUAUUUUCUUUGAGAAGUUAAACCUAAAAUUGUGGAGCUAUGGUAAAAACAACUUUUCACUUAUAAGAAACACUCACUCUAAAUCCUAGAAAACUCAUUUCAUGAUUGUUUGAUUUGUCAAGCCAUUGAAAAUAAAUUUACUUCAUCCCAAAGCAUCUAUUUUCAUCACAUUUUCUUAAAUAUAUUAGAGCAUGAGGGAUAAUAGAAUUUAUAAGUUUUGAAGUGCAUUGGUCAAUUAAUUCCCAUUGGCUUUCUUUCCCAUUAGUAUUUGCUGACCGGACAAGUAAGUUAUGUUUUGUUACUUUUUUUAACCUGGGCUUUUUUUUUUUUUUUCCCAAAUAUUACACUAUGGCUAAUAAAUAGAUUUGACUUUUACAUAUAAAUAAAAUCCAUUACAUUAGUUUAUCAAAAAAAAUGGCUAAAAUGAUUUUCCUUUUAAAUUGUUUGCUAAAAUUAUAUUUGCACUUAGAAUCAAUUAAUUUGCUCUCAAAAUUGAGAAUGACCCCAACUGGAAAAAUAACUUGAACAUUCUGAACAGUAUAGUCAUAUCAUUCACAUAUAUGCUUCUCUAAAAGGUAACGUGGCUACAAAAAGAGGUAAAAGAACUUUUGUACAAAGAUUUAUUCUUUUAGGAGUUCCCAUCAUGGCUCCGUGGUUAACAAACCCGACUAGUGUCCAUGAGGACUCUGCUUCUAUUCCUGACCUAGCUCAGUGGUUAAGGAUCCAGCAUUGCUGUGAGCUGUGGUGUAGGUUUCAGAUGUGGCUCAGAUCCCACAGUGCUGUGGCUGUGGUGUAGGCCAGCUGCUACAGCUCCGAUUUGCCCCUUAGCCCGGAAACCUCUGUAUGCCACAGGUGCGGCCC
rnacentral:lncRNA from 1 species